AUGUACAACAUACAGAAAUCAGAAUGCUGGUCCCAGAUGAGAAGUGAGAUGAUAAAAUCAUCAAUGGACAAAUCCUCCAAUCACAUCAGAAUAAACAAGUACUCAAGAAGUAAGCAAUAUCCAAGAACACUGACUCAAUCAGACAUCAAGAAGAGAAACACACCAUAUGACACAUUUUGCUGCUUAUCAGCCACCGGAAUGUUCUCAAGGAUGGUUACCAUUCGCACUGCAAGAUUCAUCACCAUUGUUUUCUAUGUCCUUGUCCUCCUCUAUAAUUAUAUGCAGAAAUACAUUCCACAUAGUUUAGAACUAUCUGUAAUCUAA
rnacentral:rRNA from 1 species